rnacentral:lncRNA from 13 species
GCAGACGCCGAGAUGGCCACGCGGGAGCCCCCGUAUGAGCCCCAGCCCGGCUCCUGGUCCAGGAAUGACCCAGGAAGAGGCCCUCAGCAGCAAGGGCACAGAGCCGCUGGCGAGGCCCUCCCAAUGGCGCAUGGACUUCCGCAAGAGCCUAACAGGCACCCGUAUUCAGUCCGUCACGGAAACAACCACUUCACCCUUUCUAGGAGGACAGCACGAACGGUCCGCGGAGGACCAGCGCAUGCGCACAGUGCCUCGGGAACUGCCUUGCGCAUUCCGUCGCCUUCCUCCUGGCCCGCCCUCUUGCUUCAGGUUUGGAAUUCAAAAUUAGGCUCGCAGGUUAAAGAUUUUGCCAGGGUAGAUGAAGCUCUGAGGUCUCAGAGUUAACCAGUCCUUCUCUGAAUGCUCUUGUGCUGAUGGGCUGGCCCUCUUCAAGUAACCCUUCAGUAAAACAGGUAUAAACUUUCCUGUUCUAAAGUAAGAAAGAUUAAUAUAAAACUGUUCAAUUGUGUUUUUCUCCGUUUUCUAAUUUUUUGGAAAGAAAAACAAAUUCUCAAUUACUGUUUAAUUUGUAAGACUAAUUUUGCCCUAAAAAAACUUUCUUACAAUUUGUCUAACAUGAAACCGGACAUGUAUACAAUCUUAUUUGUCCUUACAACAAUACCAUAUAAUGGAGUAAUGGUAUUACAUCUCAUUUCAAAGAUGAAAAAAAUUGAAGCUUAGGGUAAUUUAGCCACUUGCCAAAUUUUUUAUGACUAUCAAAUGAUAGACCCAUAAUAUAACAAGUAGGAUUCUAUAUCUGAAAUUGGUUUCACUUUACCUAGGGCUUGGGAGGUGAAUGGCAGAGGAGAACAGGGAACAGUGGAUAAAAUCCCAAGUCCAUGAAUUCUUUUGUUUAAAUAUCUACCUGUAUAUUACAUCACACACAGAUAUUUUCCAUUUUCAUAAAAAUGCCUGAUGAAUGCAUUUAAUAAUACAAUCCAUUAAUCAUGUAAUAAUAGUGUUCCAUAAUAACUUGCAGUUAAUGUAUCAUGAACAUCUUGCUAUGACAAUUGAUCUACUUUAUUCUUUUAUUUUUAAAGUAGUAUAAGUACAGCAUAACCCAUACUCAUC